AGGGGUAGAAGGCGGCAAUAGGUGCCCCUCCUCACCGGCAGCCAUGGAGGAUCGGUGGAUCUUUUAUUUGUUGCUUUUGUGUUCGAUUUAACUUUCUCGGCGCAGAUUCAAAUUCAUCGCUAUGAUGUUGCCUUCAGAGUCAAACGUGAGAUUAAUUUCGUUCUAUGUAGAGAUUACACAAGCAACUGCAAGUGACGGCCAUCAUUUGUGAUCUUGCUGCGGAAAAGUUCAUUUUUUGUCACCUUUACACGGGGAGAAAAGAGAACGACAUCGAAGUCGCUUCAGAUCCAGGUAUGAUUUUCUUGUUUCUAAAUUGCAGUUGGAGUUGUAGCGGAUUGCCCAAUAUCCUCUCCGUCUUCCAUGGUCGUUCCUGCGGCGUCAUCUCCGCCCAAUGCGGCGACCCCAACCACUCGACUGUCGUCCUCUCCUCCGAUGCCGGCCCUCAGCCGUCCCCGCGCUUGCGCCCUAUCCCCGGCGCCGCUACACACUUAUUCGCUGAUUCGGAGCCCAGGCAUCCUGUCCUUUUUCUCUGUAGCGUAGCUUCUUGUGGUGCCUGGCCUCUCUUUGUGAAGCUGCUUCACCCUGGUUGGCUGACAAUCCAUCUUAGCACCCAAAUCUCUCUCUUGCUUUUUGUUUGUACGAAUUUGGGGGAAGGAGUCCGAGGAAUUCAACAGCCAAGUGCAGUUCAUUACAUAUUUCCAUCAAUAUUCACGCUUUUUUUGUCUAAUUUAUUUCAUAUUUUCUUUUUUCCUUAAAUAUACAAAAUGAAAACAUUUUGGUGAUACCUAAUCUAAUUAUUCAUUUCCUUAAAUCCAUUUGCAGGAUUGCAUAGCUUUCCCGGGCUUCCAGUCCUUGCACUUCUCAUGAACAAGUGCCACUCAUUCUUUUUAUGGUUGCAAGCGGCCUUGACAGCACAGCUCUACUGGUGACCAGCGCAUUGCGUACCAAGGUUUCAUCCUCCUGAACAUGAAGAUCUAAUCAUGGAUGUGCAUGGUAUUGAAAGGGGGCCCAAGUAUUUUGUUUCCUUUUUUCUUCGGGCAUUGUCCCUUACCUAAUCUUCAUCUAAGGUCUGCUCCCGUAAUUGACAUCCAAGGAAGCAGUCUCAUGUUUUCCAAAUGAACAACAAAAUGCAAAGAUUUUUUUUCCAAGUUCCAUUGAUAGGUUUUCAGAGUUCAGGCUUAAAAACUACAAGCUAUGCAUUAAUGUUUUUUUUGAAUUCUAUCGUUGUUUAAUAUGGUUAGAGGUGAAAUUUGGGACUUACAAGGGAGGUUGAAAACCCAGAAGACAAGGACUCAAUUUGUUUAAUUGAUUUCUUCUUGAUGGAUAUGCAUGUGUCUACAUUAUCGGUGUCCCUAACCAAUUUCUUUCUUUAUUAACUGAAUCUAAUCGAUAUGUGCUUAACUUUAGCUUCAUGAUAUAAUUGGCUUUUAGUGGAAAACUUAAAAUGAAUUUGUUAUAAUAAUAAUAGCAAUAGUUAGAUUUAUGGACAAUAUGUCAAAAUAGUUAAUCAUUUCCAAAUAUGUAAAUUUAAUCAUAUUUGAGUUAACGGCGUCACUCUAUGGCUUUGACACAACCUCUAGCUGUUCUUGAUGUCUACUCCAUGUCUCGAACAUGUAGUUAUUGCUUUAAAGAAGGAAUAAAGUACAUGUACAAUUGUGUUAU